AAUGAACGCUGGCGGCAGGCCUAACACAUGCAAGUCGAACGGAUCCUUCGGGAUCAGUGGCGGACGGGUGAGUAACGCGUGGGAACAUACCCAAAGGUACGGAAUAGCCUCGGGAAACUGGGCGUAAUACCGUAUGUGCUCGAAAGAGGAAAGAUUUAUCGCCUUUGGAGUGGCCCGCGUUGGAUUAGGUAGUUGGUGGGGUAAUGGCCUACCAAGCCGACGAUCCAUAGCUGGUUUGAGAGGAUGAUCAGCCACACUGGGACUGAGACACGGCCCAGACUCCUACGGGAGGCAGCAGUGGGGAAUCUUAGACAAUGGGGGAAACCCUGAUCUAGCCAUGCCGCGUGAUCGAUGAAGGCCUUAGGGUUGUAAAGAUCUCUCAGGUGGGAAGAUAAUGACUGUACCACCUGAAGAAGCCCCGGCUAACUCCGUGCCAGCCGCCGCGGUAA
rnacentral:rRNA from 1 species